rnacentral:sRNA from 1 species
AUGUGGGUAUCACGUUCAUACACAGGGGUGUGUGGAGGUGCGGGUGUGUGCACACUCAGUUUCUUUUUUUGAUAACCUGGUUUUUUAGCCAGCCAUACAACAUGGAUCCUUUUAGUAUUUCAUCAUAGGGAUGUUACACAAGGGAGCCUGUGGCAGAUGUCCUAGGACUGCAGCUUUGCCCCCUCAUUGUGCCCUUGGUGGCUUUGCAGGGUCCGCAGCGGGCCUGCUCUGGGUGCUCUGUGCUUUGCCCCACCCGGCUGCCCUACUAGAGGUUGGCCAGCACCAUAAUUGUUCGUCUCUUGUCCUCAUUUCUAUUCUUUUUUUUUGAGACAGAAUUUCACUCUUGUUGCCCAGGCUGGAGUGCAAUGGUGCGAUCUCGGCUCACUGCAACCUUGCCUCCCGGGUUCAAGUGAGUCUCCUGCCUCAGCCUCCUGAGUAGCUGGGAUUACAGGCAUGUGCCAUCACGCCCGGCUAAUUUUGUAGUUUUAGUAGAGACGGGAUUUCUCCAUGUUGUUCAGACUGGUCUCGAACUUCCGACCUCAGGUGAUCUGCCCGCCUCAGCCUCCCAAAGUGCUGGGAUUACAGGCGUGAGCCACCGCGCCCGGCCAUCUCAUUUCUAUUCUUCCUCCAAAUAUUUUCUGGUACAUGGGUGUCUGACCUUGACCCUUAGGACCAGUUGAUAGUCCUGGAAUCCACUUCUAGAAGGCCUUGGGGCUCUGUUUGCCCCUAGUGCAGAAGCUUCUGGUAGAGGCAGCUUUGAGGCCUGGGCUGCCUGGCAGAGGCUGGUGGGCCCCCUGCACCCCUGAUCCUGAGUGUCGUUUGCACCGUCUUUCCUGCGAUUUGCCUCUGCUCACACGUGUAGGGAUGGGUCUCUCCUUGAGGCAGCUGCUCUGUGCUGGAACACUGCUCAGGUCGGAGAGUUCUCGUACUUAGCCGAGAUGGCAUCUGUGAUGUCCUGCCCUGUUGGAGAGGUCUGUUGUCCCCCUCUAAGUGAUGACACCAUCCACAUGUGGCUUUGCCACGUUUGGAUGUAAGCGCCUCUUCAGCGCCCACCUUCCAUGUGACUUCUUCACAUUCCCUCUCCUGGCCAUGCUGGGUACUGGGGACCCCACAGGGAGUGCACCCUCGGGGCGCUGGGUUUGGUUCCAGCUCCGACUGGAACUGCUUAUGUGAUUGUCCCUGGCCUGAGCGUAAGACCCACUUAACAAGACCUCAGGGGUUUUAGUCUCAGCUCCUUCCCUGGCCCAAUCUGGCUCUUAGCCAGCCCCCCUCCUCCUCUGCCACUGUCCCAGCCACUGACCAUGCCCUGGGUGCCCACCCCGUGCAGGGUAGAAGCCUGGCUUUGGGCUCUUGGAGUUCCUGGGCAGGGAAGGCUCCCACUUUCUGCCCUGUGAAGCGCACCUCAGUCCUGGCUGCCCCAUUUCCCAAGGGGCUCUCAGGUGCAGUGGCUUCUGCAGCCCCUCUCUUGGGAUGCAGGCCUGGGCACGUGCAGCCUUGUUUAGCUCUGCCCCCGUUUGCCCAUCCAGCCCCCGAGUUCUUCCUGCCCCUUCAGGCCACUGCUUGAGCUGAUGGCAGAGAUGGAUUCCUCCCUUCCCGUCCUGGAAGUUUUUAGGGCUGUCUGGCAUCCUCCCUUUGGGACCCUGGGUUCAUUCCCUGCUCUGGCCACCUUGUUUGUGGCCUCCUAGACACACCCAGCGUGCGCCUGGCCUCAGCACCUCACAUGUAGCGUGCAUGUGUGUGCAUCUGCGCUUGGCGUCGGCGUCACUUCUUACAAGGACAAGCAGGCACUGGGGAAGGGUGGGGACACAAAGGAGGAAUGGGAUGAGGGCUCCGAGGCCUGGGAGCUGCCCUGGGAGGCCUCUGCCCUGGGGACUGUUCAGCAGCUUUGGGCCUCUCUCCAGAUCAUCAGCCAUGACACCCGGCGCUUCCGCUUUGCCCUGCCGUCACCCCAGCACAUCCUGGGCCUCCCCGUCGGUGAGUCACGCCCCUGCCAGGCCCACUCGGAGCCUGGCUGGCAGCUGGGGCACUAGAUCAGAGAGAUGGGAGCUUCACAUUUCCACCAGGGAGAGCAGGGAAGCCUUCAGGAGGAGGUGACAGCUGCCCUGGGCCUUUGAGGGCGAGUCUGUUGGUAUGAGAGUGGGAAGGCCCAGGGUCCCUGGCAGUGGCACCAGCAGGAGUGAAGGCAUGGAGGCAGGAAGCUGGGACGUGAGGGGAAUCCCCAGGAGCGGUGGGAGGGGGCCGUGGGAGCUGAGGCCAGGCUAGGCUUUGAAUGCCGGGUGGGGUGCAGGGGAGUGGGUUGACAAGACCCAGGGGUCACCCGCAGGAUGAUCUCUGGCCCAGAGUGACCCUGUUCUGUCCUGCAGGCCAGCACAUCUACCUCUCGGCUCGAAUUGAUGGAAACCUGGUCAUCCGGCCCUAUACACCCGUCUCCAGCGAUGAUGACAAGGGCUUCGUGGACCUGGUCAUCAAGGUUUACUUCAAGGACACCCAUCCCAAGUUUCCCGCCGGAGGGAAGAUGUCUCAGUACCUGGAGAGCAUGCAGAUUGGAGACACCAUUGAGUUCCGGGGCCCCAACGGGCUGCUGGUCUACCAGGGCAAAGGGAAGUUCGCCAUCCGACCUGACAAAAAGUCCAACCCUGUCAUCAAGACAGUGAAGUCUGUGGGCAUGAUCGCGGGAGGGACAGGCAUCACCCCGAUGCUGCAGGUGAUCCGUGCCAUCAUGAAGGACCCUGAUGACCACACUGUGUGCCACCUGCUCUUUGCCAACCAGACUGAGAAGGACAUCCUGCUGCGACCUGAGCUGGAGGAACUCAGGAACGAACAUUCUACGCGCUUCAAGCUCUGGUACACGCUGGACAGAGCCCCUGAAGCCUGGGACUACAGCCAGGGCUUCGUGAAUGAGGAGAUGAUCCGGGACCACCUUCCGCCCCCAGAGGAGGAGCCGCUAGUGCUGAUGUGUGGCCCCCCACCCAUGAUCCAGUAUGCCUGCCUUCCCAACCUGGACCGCGUGGGCCACCCCAAGGAGCGCUGCUUCGCCUUCUGAGGGCCGGGCACGGUCACACGGCCACCCACCCCGCGCACCCCACACCCUGUUCACGCUCACCCAGUCACCUCCCCACAUCGCACACUGGGGCCUCGGGUUCAGCCUGGCCUGCCCGUGUCCUGGUGAAUCACCCGGCUGAGCAGGCCCCCGGGGCCCCUUCGGGAGCAGGGCUGUGUCCCAGGUGGGCCACGGCUGAGCCUUCAGAGUAGGUCCUGCCUGGCACUUACUGGUCCUUACCAGAGACACCCAGCCCCAUCCCUGUCCUCAUGACCCCUCGUUCACCCCACACACACACUACAAGGCUGAGGGCUGCCAGCAGCCCCGUCUGCCCACCAUUCCCGGCGGUGGACCACAGUCGGGAUGUCAGCAGACACACAUGGGCAGCCCAAAGCUGCAGGUGCCAGGGCCCACCCCAGCCUCGCCUGUCAUGCCUACUCCCACCUCAGGCCCAGGCCCAGGCCUCACCACCUGACACUGCGAGAGACAUUGACACCAGAAAACCCUCUUGGGGGCGCUGCUCCCUACCCCAGGGCCCUGGCCAGCCGGGAGCUUGGCUCUCCUCUGGCUAGAGUGGGAAGCGGGGGCUGGCCACGGGGCCCUCCCAGAACCUCAGCAUUUCCUUCCAGCCCAUCCAAACACUGAGGCAGCCUUGGGGAACCCCGAGCUGGGGGGUCGGCAGCCCGCUGCACCGCCUCAGGGUUUUGGGGUCCUGGGCUGGGGCCACCAUCCCUGAUAGCAGAACUCCCACAACCACAUGUAUUUAUUCCUCUGUCCUAAACCGUCCCCUCCUUCCCUCACCCCCAGCACAGGGGGAUUCUGAGCAGUGCCUCUUGUCUGAGGGACAUAUCGGUGACCUCGACGUUGCCUUUAGACUACAGUUGUGUUAGCCUCUUGCGU